AAUUACAUAUAUACGAUAAUUUUACCAGAAGUACAAUAAUUUCAAUCUGUGUAGUACGAUAAUAUGGCCAAAACAAUCUGGCAACCCUGAGCUGGCUGUCAAGUUAACCAGUCAGUGUGUCGCGUCUAUCGGUGGUGUUAGUAUGCGUCUAUUUCAACUCCCAGCCUGUCAGAAUUUGUGUUUUUUUUUUUUUUGUGUGUGUGUGUGUGUGUAACCACGCCUACACAGUGGCUGCCAAGGCUUACCCAUGAGUUAAACCUUCUUUAGUUGGUAAUGAGGAAGGCGUGGGCUCUAACAGUGGACACCCGAAGGCAGCAGUGGGUGAAAACAAGCAAAAUAAAGAAAAGUUUGGCUGUGAGAAGGUGCUAGACAGCCAGCCAUAGUGACAAGGAGGCAGGAAGGUAUCGUAUCACCACCAGCACCACCAUCACCACCACAGGGAAGUGAGAGAUGGGGGAGGAGGAUUUAAAAGGACAUGUUUGCAGUGCGCUGUCAGCCCUCAUCUGUGCCGCCUCCCCCAGUGAGUGGGUGCAGGCCUGGGGAUAGAACAUAUGCAGACGUCUUGGCAGUGCUGUGUAUGUCUGUUUGUCGAUGGUCAAGAAGGGACGUAGCAAAAGUUUAAGUGUAGCUGCACCGGCUGGCCAUCAAUUGGCUCUCAGUUGAUCUGUUUUACUGAUCACACCUAACAUCGUAGGGUCAAGGAAAGGCAGUUCUCCCUGACACGUUUAUUGAUGAGGUAGGCAUGACCGUAAGAACUGCAAACAAGUUCUCAGUCUCAAUUUCUUACAAAAUAACAUUAUACACUGAUAUUAAACACUUUCAACAUAUUACAAUAUUCAUUAACAAUACAUGCGAUUAACUUG